GUGAGGAAUAUUGCGCAAUGGAGGCAACUCUGACGCAGCCAUGCCGCGUGCAGGAAGAAGGCGCUACGCGUUGUAAACUGCUUUUAACCGGGAAGAAACCCCAGGACGUGUCCUGGGUUGACGGUACCGGAGGAAUAAGCACCGGCUAACUUCGUGCCAGCAGCCGCGGUAAUACGAAGGGUGCAAGCGUUAUCCGGAUUCAUUGGGUUUAAAGGGUGCGUAGGCGGAGCGCUAAGUCAGUGGUGAAAUCCUGCAGCUUAACUGUAGACUUGCCAUUGAUACUGGCGCUCUUGAGUGCGCUUGAAGUGGGCGGAAUGUGCCGUGUAGCGGUGAAAUGCUUAGAUAUGGCACAGAACACCAAUUGCGAAGGCAGCUCACUAAGGCGAUACUGACGCUGAGGCACGAAAGCGUGGGGAUCGAACAGGAUUAGAAACCCUGGUAGUCC
rnacentral:rRNA from 1 species